rnacentral:ncRNA from 1 species
GACGAUAAAGGCAAACCCUGAGCAAUCAGGGGACGCAAAGCCACAGUCCCGGUAGUUUUUGCCGGGAAGCUGGGUUGCCGAAC